UACUAUAUAAUAGUUAAAACUUUCAACAACGGAUCUCUUGGUUCUGGCAUCGAUGAAGAACGCAGCGAAAUGCGAUAAGUAAUGUGAAUUGCAGAAUUCAGUGAAUCAUCGAAUCUUUGAACGCACAU
rnacentral:rRNA from 2 species